UUGGGUUAAGUCCCGCAACGAGCGCAACCCUUGACCUUAGUUGCCAGCAUUCAGUUGGGCACUCUAAGGUGACUGCCGGUGACAAACCGGAGGAAGGUGGGGAUGACGUCAAAUCAUCAUGCCCCUUAUGACCUGGGCUACACACGUGCUACAAUGGGUGGUACAAAGGGUUGCAAAGCCGCGAGGCCGAGCCAAUCCCAAAAAGCCACUCUCAGUUCGGAUUGUAGGCUGCAACUCGCCUACAUGAAGCCGGAAUUGCUAGUAAUCGCGGAUCAGCAUGCCGCGGUGAAUACGUUCCCGGGCCUUGUACACACCGCCCGUCACACCACGAGAGUUUGUAACACCCGAAGUCAGUGGGGUAACCCUUUUGGGAGCCAGCCGCCGAAGGUGGGACAGAUGAUUGGGGUGAAGUCGUAACAAGGUAACCAAGCCGAAUUC
rnacentral:rRNA from 1 species